rnacentral:lncRNA from 1 species
UUUCAGGGAAGUGGAUAGUCACUCCAGAGUUUGUUCUGCUCCCAGAGGCUUCAUAUGAAUUAAACUUAACAGCUCAGACUCCUGAAACACCCAAUCCACUGAAAACAUGGAGAGAGAGAGAGAGAGAGGGUGUCUAAUGGCACUGUGUACGGAGCUUUUCAGGUGAACGUCACUAUAUUGUUAACUCGCUUAGAAAACGACUAAAAGAAAUUAAACAUGUUUCAUUUCCCAUCUCCACCUGUAGGACUGGGUACUAGUGCUCAUUGACAUUGAUGAUCCAGCGAGGAGAAGUGUGUAUGUCAGGAUAUUAAAAGCAGGCAGAGCUGUUGUCAUCACAGACUGGUCGACUUCAUAUGAUGUAACUCACGUGAUAACCACAAAUACAUCCAAAGAUAAAGGCGAGAAGUGCAGAAUCCCUCACUAUAGUGUCAGCUAUGUAGCCAAACAUCUUUUUGGGCAUGUUUGCUCAGAGUUAAACUGAUCCUGUAAUCUGGAGUCCUUCAAUGAAGAAGAGAGCUGUGAAAUGGCCAUCGAUGCUGCUGUAGUCAUUGAGUCUAUGGAUGUUACUGAUGACAUUUCACAAGAAGAAUUGGAGGAAAUGCUCAAAGAAUACAUCAUAAUAAUGGAGCAACGGAAGAAAAUGCUUUUGACAGUCCCAGAGUUCUACAGCUACUACACACCCAACCUGCCAGUUCAGAUUCAGCAAUGUGCAGAGCUUGGUAGAGUGUGCCUUCUUCCCUCAAGCUCUGGAGGAGAUUCUGGGGUCCCUGCAGCCUGGAGUGAUGCCCCCAGUCACGCACUGCAUCAUACUGCUGGCAUAGAGUCAAGCUAAAUGAAAGUUGAUGCAAAGCCAUUGUACCUCAGCAUGUUUAUCACAGUUCUCCACAGUAUCCUGCACAACAAUCCUACCUGGGGUUCUCCUGGACACACAAAGUACUUUCUCCAGAUCCUGCAGUGUCCAGAAUAGUGUGUCUAGCAAGCGAACCCACCUGUCACUCACUGCCAAGCCCACCAUCCACUGAGUUGUUUCGUCUCCAUUGUAACCUGCAGGAGUUCUUCCUGAGACUCUUUCAGCUGGAGCUUCAUGCUGCUAGCUCAGGGUGAGCACCUGAGCUCUGUUCAUCUC